GAACUAAAGAGUUUGAUCCUGGCUCAGAUUGAACGCUGGCGGCAUGCUUUACACAUGCAAGUCGAACGGUAACAGGCCGCAAGGUGCUGACGAGUGGCGAACGGGUGAGUAAUGUAUCGGAACGUGCCCAGUCGUGGGGGAUAACGCAGCGAAAGCUGCGCUAAUACCGCAUACGAUCUAUGGAUGAAAGCGGGGGACCGUAAGGCCUCGCGCGAUUGGAGCGGCCGAUAUCAGAUUAGGUAGUUGGUGGGGUAAAGGCUCACCAAGCCAACGAUCUGUAGCUGGUCUGAGAGGACGACCAGCCACACUGGGACUGAGACACGGCCCAGACUCCUACGGGAGGCAGCAGUGGGGAAUUUUGGACAAUGGGCGCAAGCCUGAUCCAGCAAUGCCGCGUGCAGGAAGAAGGCCUUCGGGUUGUAAACUGCUUUUGUACGGAACGAAACGGUCCUGGUUAAUACCUGGGGCUAAUGACGGUACCGUAAGAAUAAGCACCGGCUAACUACGUGCCAGCAGCCGCGGUAAUACGUAGGGUGCAAGCGUUAAUCGGAAUUACUGGGCGUAAAGCGUGCGCAGGCGGUUUUGUAAGACAGGCGUGAAAUCCCCGGGCUUAACCUGGGAAUGGCGCUUGUGACUGCAAAGCUGGAGUGCGGCAGAGGGGGAUGGAAUUCCGCGUGUAGCAGUGAAAUGCGUAGAUAUGCGGAGGAACACCGAUGGCGAAGGCAAUCCCCUGGGCCUGCACUGACGCUCAUGCACGAAAGCGUGGGGAGCUAACAGGAUUAGAUACCCUGGUAGUCCACGCCCUAAACGAUGAAUGCUAGUCGUCGGGAAGCUCGUCUUUUCGGUGACGCACUUAACAGAUUAAGCAUUCCGCCUGGGGAGUACGGUCGCAAGAUUAAAACUCAAAGGAAUAGACGGGGACCCGCACAAGUGGUGGAGCAUGUGGUUUAAUUCGAAGAUACACGAAGAACCUUACCUGGCCUUGACAUCCCAAGAACUUUCCAGAGAUGGAUUGGUGCUAGCUUGCUAGAACUUGGUGACAGGUGCUGCACGGCUGUCGUCAGCUCGUGUCGUGAGAUGUUGGGUUAAGUCCCGCAACGAGCGCAACCCUCGUCUUUAGUUGCUAACAGUUCGGCUGAGCACUCUAAAGAGACUGCCUCCGUAAGGAGGAGGAAGGUGAGGACGACGUCAAGUCAUCAUGGCCCUUACGGCCAGGGCUACACACGUGCUACAAUGGGGCGUACAGAGAGCUGCAAUACCGCGAGGUGGAGCCAAUCUCUUAAAGCGUCUCUCAGUUCGGAUUGUUCUCUGCAACUCGAGAACAUGAAGCUGGAAUCACUAGUAAUCGCAGAUCAGCUAUGCUGCGGUGAAUACGUUCCCGGGUCUUGUACUCACCGCCCGUCACACCAUGGGAGUUGAUUUCACCCGAAAUCGGGAUGCCAAACUGGCUACCGCUUACGGUGGAAUUAGCGACUGGGGUGAAGUCGUAACAAGGUAACCGUAGGAGAACCUGCGGUUGGAUCACCUCCUUU
rnacentral:rRNA from 1 species